UGAAAAACUGACUUCACCAAAUAAACUACUGGAAUGAAAAUCUACUCAGCAGAGAUUAUACUGACUGAAGAAGGUCCCUGACUCCAUCCUGUUCACUGUGUUCUCAAAGAUGCAUCAACAAACUACAGUUUCAGGGCAUCCUUUGCUUGACAAUUGUCUGCAUGGUAGCUGUGAGUCCUGAAGUAGAGAAGAAGUUGCCUCCACAUCGAGAAAUAAAAGGCUCUUCUUGAAUUCAGCCUUGCAGUGACCUUUCUUGGAAAAGCACCAGUUUUAUUUAACGAUGAAACAAAACCAAAUCCCAGACAUUGGGCUGAAUGACAACAACAUAGAG